GACGAACGCUGGCGGCGUGCCUAAUACAUGCAAGUCGAGCGAAGUUUUUCUGGUGCUUGCACCGGAAAAACUUAGCGGCGAACGGGUGAGUAACACGUAAAGAACCUGCCUCAUAGACUGGGACAACUAUUGGAAACGAUAGCUAACACCGGAUAAUAGCAUUAACUGCAUGGUUGAUGUUUAAAAGUUGGUUUUGCUAACACUAUGAGAUGGCUUUGCGGUGCAUUAGCUAGUUGGUGGGGUAAAGGCCUACCAAGGCGACGAUGCAUAGCCGACCUGAGAGGGUGAUCGGCCACACUGGGACUGAGACACGGCCCAGACUCCUACGGGAGGCAGCAGUAGGGAAUCUUCCGCAAUGGGCGAAAGCCUGACGGAGCAACGCCGCGUGAGUGAAGAAGGAUUUCGGUUCGUAAAGCUCUGUUGUUAGGGAAGAAUGAUUGUGUAGUAACUAUACACAGUAGAGACGGUACCUAACCAGAAAGCCACGGCUAACUACGUG
rnacentral:rRNA from 1 species